UCUCCCAUCAUGCUGAAAACACUUGCCCCAGUGAGGAGAAACAAUCAGGCCAGAAACUAUAGGGGACUAAGGCUCUUCAGGACCUGCUAUAGGUGAGGAGGCAUGGAGCACAUCGCUAUGCCUGCACCAUGGACCAGAGCACGAUUACACAAGGAGACCACAGACAUAAAACUUUAGCUAUGAAAUCAUGAGAAUUUCUGUUUGGUAUAUGAUUGACAAAGCAUGAUCAUACAGCCAACCCCAAAAUGGUGGGAUGAGGCUAGGAUGAUGAUGAUGGUGAUGUAAAUAAAUAAAGAAAAAGAAAUUCAAACAAAGAUUAGUGACUGACCAGGGAGUAUUGGUGUGAAAAUGGAAAAUCUUCAACUGUCCUAUUUUGGCAAACAAAUGUCUGUGAAUCAGAGAUUAGGAUUGUUCAACCAAUCUAAUCUUGAGAUUGUGUCUUGGCAGUAGUGAACUACACAAUAUACUUAUUUUGGUUAAGUUAAGCUUGUUUUGGCUUUUGCAGGGCAUAAUUGAAGUGCAUAGAAGGAUUUUUAUUUUAUUUUUUUCCAUUCAUCAAUUGCUUGAAGGUGGUGUAAAAUAUUCGUUUCUUUGGUGAAUGAUUUUAUGCAGUGUUGAUGAGCAGGUAGCGAAGGACAUAUAACUGCUAGAUUCCAUUGCUGAGAAGCAACCCCAAAUCUUCUCUGAAGAAUGCAAGUAUUAUUGAAGUAAAGAGUUUGAUUUUUUUUCACCGGAGUUUGAAGAUGAGAUCAUAAUGCUGGUUGAUUUACUUGAUGCCUCUGCCUUUUGGAUGGAUUGAAGAUUUUUGGGGUCCUAAUGCAUUUGGUUUAUUUUGACUUUUGUUACUGAAUAUUUAUUGGAUGUUGCAGGUAAUUAGCACAUGGGAUGACCAAAAUUGAGUGAUGCCCCAUUGGUUUGACCUAGAAAAUUUAUUAUAACUAACCUUUUCAAGUAAUUGGAUGAUUCAUAUGAUCCAGUAACAUUUGUUGUUUCAUGUC